rnacentral:rRNA from 1 species
UACGAAGGGGGGCUAGCGUUGUUCGGAAUUACUGGGCGUAAAGCGCGCGCAGGCGGUCUUCCAAGUCAGUGGUGAAAGCCCGGAGCUCAACUCCGGAACUGCCAUUGAAACUGUAAGACUUGAGGAUGAGAGAGGUGAGUGGAAUUCCCAGUGUAGAGGUGAAAUUCGUAGAUAUUGGGAAGAACACCGGUGGCGAAGGCGGCUCACUGGCUCAUAUCUGACGUCAGGCGCGACAGCGUGGGGGAUCAAACAGG